rnacentral:rRNA from 1 species
GAACGGGAUGAGUAACACGUGGGGUGAUCUGCCCUGCACUUUGGGAUAAGCCUGGGAAACUGGGUCUAAUACCGAAUAUGACCAUGCGCCUCCUGGUGUGUGGUGGAAAGCUUUUGCGGUGNNNNNUGGGCCCNNNNNNNAUCAGCUUGUUGGUGGGGUAAUGGCCUACCAAGGCGACGACGGGUAGCCGGCCUGAGAGGGUGACCGGCCACACUGGGACUGAGAUACGGCCCAGACUCCUACGGGAGGCAGCAGUGGGGAAUAUUGCACAAUGGGCGCAAGCCUGAUGCAGCGACGCCGCGUGAGGGAUGACGGCCUUCGGGUUGUAAACCUCUUUCAGCACAGACGAAGCGCAAGUGACGGUAUGUGCAGAAGAAGGACCGGCCAACUACGUGCCAGCAGCCGCGGUAAUACGUAGGGUCCGAGCGUUGUCCGGAAUUACUGGGCGUAAAGAGCUCGUAGGUGGUUUGUCGCGUUGUUCGUGAAAACUCACAACUUAACUGUGGGCGUGCGGGCGAUACGGGCAGACUUGAGUACUGCAGGGGAGACUGGAAUUCCUGGUGUAGCGGUGGAAUGCGCAGAUAUCAGGAGGAGCACCGGUGGCGAAGGCGGGUCUCUGGGCAGUAACUGACGCUGAGGAGCGAAAGCGUGGGGAGCGAACAGGAUUAGAUACCCUGGUAGUCCACGCCGUANACGGUGGGUACUAGGUGUGGGUUUCCUUCCUUGGGAUCCGUGCCGUAGCUAACGCAUUAAGUACCCCGCCUGGGGAGUACGGCCGCAA